UUGAUCUUGAAAAUGAGAUGUUUUAUCCGUGGUGACCAACUGGCUCCAUAGCUAAGCUCUUAAGGGGCCUUCACAAAAUAUAGGCAGAAUGACGUCAAAAUUUCAGAUGAUCAAAUAUCCAUGGAGCACACGAAAAUUCGACAAAAUAGAGGGUUUACUUGCUCUGGGGCUCAUUUGACCUUGAAAAUGGGCCGUUUUGGUGAUCCAGAAUUUCGACGUCUUCUUUGCCCAAAAUUUUUUGUGACGUCCGUUAAGAGGUUAGCUAUGGAGCCACUUGGUCCUGACGGCCAAAACGGUUCAUUUUCAAGGUCAAACGAGCCUCGGAGCAGGUAUACCCCAUUUUAUCAAUUUUCGUGUACUAUAGUUUAUGGAUUUUUGGUGAUAAGGAAUUACGUCAUCUUUUUUGCCAAAAUUUUUCAUAGACGUUCGUUUAGACGUUAGCUAUGGAUCUAGUUGGCCCUGACUGUCAAAACGACCCAUUUUCAAGGUCAAACAAGCCCCGAAGCAGGUAUACUCUCCAUAUUGUCAAUUUUCGUGUGUUAUAGUCCAUGAAUCUCUGGUGAUCCAGAAUUUCAAUGUCUUUUUCGUUCAAAUUUCUCGUGGACGUCCGAUAAGACGCUAACUAUGGAGUCAAUUGGUCCUGACGGCUAAAACGACCCAUUUUGAAGGCCAAACGAGCCUCGAAGAACCUAAACCCCCCAUUUUGCCGAUUAUCGUGUGCUAUUGUCCAUAGAUUUUUGGUGAUAUGCUAUUUCGACGUCUUUUUUGCUCAAAUUUUUCGUGGACGUUCGUUAAGACAUUAACUAUGGAGCCAGAUAUCCCUGAUGGCCAAAACGACCCCGUAUUCAAGGUCACACGAGCUUCGAAGUAGACGUUAUCUAUAGAGCCAGUUGACCCUGACGGCCAAAAUGGACCAUUUUGAAGCUCAAACGAACCCCGGAGCAGAUGCUAGUUAUGGAGUCAUUUGAUCCUGACGGCCAAAACGAUCCAUUUUGAAGGUCAAACGAGCCUCGAAGCAAAUGUUAGUUACGAAGCUAGUUGGCCCUGACGGCCAAAACGAACCAUUUUCAAGGUCGAACAAGCUCCUAAGCAGACGUCUAAUAUGAUGUUAGCUAUGGAGCCAGUUGGCCUUGACGACCAAAAUGACCCAUUUUCAAUUCCCUAAACAAAAUAGCCGAAGUUUUUCAUGGACGUCUAUUAAGACCUUAGGUUUGGAUCAGUUCGUCCUGCGUGGAAUAAUGGUGAAUCUUCAAGUUUCAAACGAGCCCCAAAGCAGGCAUAAACAUAUUUUUUUUUACAGAUUUUCGUGUGCUAUGAUCCAUGGAUUUUUUUUAUCCGAAAAUCCCAAAAUAAAAUGACCAAAAAUUUUCAUGGAUGUCUGUUAAGAUCUUAGAAAUGGAAAUAAUUCGUCCCGUGGUGAAAAAUGGUGCAUUUUAUGUU